rnacentral:rRNA from 1 species
GGGGGGGGGGGGGGGGGGGGGGGGGGGGGGGGGGGGGGGGGGGGGGGGGCGGGUGGGGGGGUGGGCUCGGGUGGGGCACGGGUGGGGGACACGUGAGUAACCUGCCCUUGAGGUUGGGCUAACUUCGGGAGCCGGGGGCUAGUACCGGAGACGCGCUCCUGCUGCCUGGUGUGGUUGUGGAGUUUUGGGCGGUGGGGGAUGUACCCGCGAGUUGUCAGCUGGUUGGUGGGGUAGUGGCUUACCAAGGCUUUGACGGGUAGCCGGCCUGGGAGGGUGACCGGCCACAUUGGGACUGAGAUACGGCCAAGACUACUACGGGAGGCAGCAGUGGGGAAUAUUGCACAAUGGGCGGAAGCCUGAUGCAGCAACGCCGCGUGCGGGAUGACGGCUUUCGGGUUGUAAACCGCUUUCGCCUGUGACGAAGCGUGAGUGACGGUAAUGGGUAAAGAAGCACCGGCUAACUACGUG